rfam:Hordeum vulgare subsp. vulgare, WGS project CAJW01000000 data, contig: morex_contig_2552678
UAAGUAUUCCCUCCAUCCCAAAUUCUUUUCUUUGAUUUGUCUAAGUAUGAAUGUAUCUAGUCAUGUUAUAGUAUUUAGAUACAUCUAUUUCUAGACAAACCUAAGACAAGAACUUUGAGACGGAGGGAGUAUUAA